CCUACGGGUGGCUGCAGUGGGGAAUAUUGCGCAAUGGGCGAAAGCCUGACGCAGCCACGCCGCGUGAGCGAUGAAGGCCUUCGGGUCGUAAAGCUCUGUGGGGAGAGAAGAAUAAAGCCUGUGAAGAGCAGGCCUUGACGGUAUCUCCUUAGCAAGCACCGGCUAACUCCGUGCCAGCAGCCGCGGUAAUACGGAGGGUGCAAACGUUUUUCGGGUACAUUGGGCGUAAAGCGCACGAAGGCUUGCGGGUGAAAACCCUGGGCUCAACCCAGGAAGUGCAUCCAAAACUGGCGGGCUUGAAUCUCGGAGGGGGUCGGAGAAUUCCCGGUGUAGAGGUGAAAUUCGUAGAUAUCGGGAGGAAUACCAGUGGCGAAGGCGCCGACCUGGACGAAGAUUGACGCUGAGGUGCGAAAGCGUGGGGAGCAAACAGGAUUAGAUACCCCUGUAGUC
rnacentral:rRNA from 1 species